rnacentral:rRNA from 1 species
GACGAACGCUGGCGGCGUGCCUAAUACAUGCAAGUUGAGCGCUGAAGGUUGGUACUUGUACCGACUGGAUGAGCAGCGAACGGGUGAGUAACGCGUGGGGAAUCUGCCUUUGAGCGGGGGACAACAUUUGAAAACGAAUGCUAAUACCGCAUAAAAACUUUAAACACAAGUUUUAAGUUUGAAAGAUGCAAUUGCAUCACUCAAAGAUGAUCCCGCGUUGUAUUAGCUAGUUGGUGAGGUAAAGGCUCACCAAGGCGAUGAUACAUAGCCGACCUGAGAGGGUGAUCGGCCACAUUGGGACUGAGACACGGCCCAAACUCCUACGGGAGGCAGCAGUAGGGAAUCUUCGGCAAUGGACGAAAGUCUGACCGAGCAACGCCGCGUGAGUGAAGAAGGUUUUCGGAUCGUAAAACUCUGUUGGUAGAGAAGAACGUUGGUGAGAGUGGAAAGCUCAUCAAGUGACGGUAACUACCCAGAAAGGGACGGCUAACUACGUG